ensembl:lncRNA
GGAGAAUUUGGACCAUGAUUUCAAGACUUGCUGCUAUCGAAUACAGAUCGCUCCGUGAUCAAUUUGAUCGAUUAUUAACGUUUACUAAUACCUAGAGUUGGAUUACAAAAGUAAUUUGAAGUGUUUUGUCAAAGUUUAUAGGCAACUUUUUUAAUUUAAAAAAAUGACGUUGCGUUUUUGAAAGCAGUUUUUUCCUGAUCAGACAGGCUUCAUAAAUGGACAUUUUGGGUAUACAUGGACGGAUUUAAUCAAAAAAAUACCCAAUUGUGAUGUUUAUGGGACAUAUAGGAGUGCCAACAAAGAAGCUCGUCAAAGAGUUCCCAGGUGUCUUGAAAGCACAUAAAUCCAGAGAAUGACAGACUUUGAUGACAAAGGAAGGACCGCCCCGCCACCUUCCUGUUCAACGGCAGGGACAUGGAGACUCGUCAGGAUUGAGGGAAAGAUCCG